rnacentral:rRNA from 1 species
GCCGGUGUUUUAUUUGCGUGUGGCCCACCUCUUCCCAUUCCGAACAGAGAAGUGAAAGUGCGCAAGGCUGAUGAUACUCUUCAAAAGGGAAAGUAGGCUAUGCCGGCA